AUUGAACGCUGGCGGCAGGCUUAACACAUGCAAGUCGAGCGGGGUGAUGGUGCUUGCACUAUCACUUAGCGGCGGACGGGUGAGUAAUGCUUAGGAAUCUGCCUAUUAGUGGGGGACAACAUCUCGAAAGGGAUGCUAAUACCGCAUACGUCCUACGGGAGAAAGCAGGGGAUCACUUGUGACCUUGCGCUAAUAGAUGAGCCUAAGGCGGAUUAGCUAGUUGGUGGGGUAAAGGCCUACCAAGGCGACGAUCUGUAGCGGGUCUGAGAGGAUGAUCCGCCACACUGGGACUGAGGCACGGCCCAGACUCCUACGGGAGGCAGCAGUGGGGAAUAUUGGACAAUGGGGGGAACCCUGAUCCAGCCAUGCCGCGUGUGUGAAGAAGGCCUUAUGGUUGUAAAGCACUUUAAGCGAGGAGGAGGCUCUUUUGGUUAAUACCCAAGAUGAGUGGACGUUACUCGCAGAAUAAGCACCGGCUAACUCUGUGCCAGCAGCCGCCGUAA
rnacentral:rRNA from 1 species